rnacentral:rRNA from 1 species
UGAGGAAUAUUGGUCAAUGGGCGAGAGCCUGAACCAGCCAAGUAGCGUGCAGGAUGACGGCCCUAUGGGUUGUAAACGGCUUUUAUAUGGGAAUAAAGUGAGGGACGUGUCCCUUACUCCAUGUACCAUAUGAAUAAGGACCGGCUAAUUCCGUGCCAGCAGCCGCGGUAAUACGGAAGGCCCAGGCGUUAUCCGGAUUUAUUGGGUUUAAAGGGAGCGUAGGCUGUUUGUUAAGCGUGUUGUGAAAUGUAAGAGCUCAACUUUUAGAUUGCAGCGCGAACUGGCAGACUUGAGUGCGCACAACGUAGGCGGAAUUCAUGGUGUAGCGGUGAAAUGCUUAGAUAUCAUGACGAACUCCGAUUGCGAAGGCAGCUUACGGGAGCACAACUGACGCUAAAGCUCGAAAGUGCGGGUAUCGAACAGG